UAAUAUCGGAUAACGCAUAUGCGCUGGAAUGCUUUAUGCGUAAAACGGAUUCGUCCGCCCAAGGAUGGGUCUGCGGCCUAUCAGGUAGUAGUGGGUGUAAUGUACCUACUAGCCAACAACGGGUACGGGUUGUGAGAGCAAGAGCCCGGAGAUGGAUUCUGAGACAUGAAUCCAGGCCCUACGGGGCGCAGCAGGCGCGAAAACUUUACAAUGCGGGAAACCGUGAUAAGGGAACACCGAGUGCCAGCAUCAUAUGCUGGCUGUCCAGAUGUGUAAACUACAUCUGUUAGCAAGGGCCGGGCAAGACCGGUGCCAGCCGCCGCGGUAACACCGGCGGCCCGAGUGGUGACCGUUAUUAUUGGGUCUAAAGGGUCCGUAGCCGGUUUGGUCAGUCCUCCGGGAAAUCUGAUAGCUUAACUGUUAGGCUUUCGGGGGAUACUGCCAGGCUUGGAACCGGGAGAGGUAAGAGGUACUACAGGGGUAGGAGUGAAAUCUUGUAAUCCCUGUGAGACCACCUGUGGCGAAGGCGUCUUACCAGAGCGGGUUCGACGGUGAGGGACGAAAGCUGGGGGCACGAACCGGAUUAGAUACCCGGGUAGUCCCAGCCGUAAACUAUGCUCGCUAGGUGU
rnacentral:rRNA from 1 species